AUGAAGUUGGGUGAAUCUUGUGUGAUCAGACUGAACUUCUUGUUAUAUUGCCAGCUGAUACAUACUGCUGAUGCCACUGGAAUGAUUGACCAGUCUGGGGUAGACGCAGGCGAUCACUUCCAAGUGGUCCUCGUAGGCAGCGAACGAAAGCAACCCAGAAGAGCGAUCGCCUGCGUCUACUCGUCGGACACAGGCCUAUGGGGUGACCUCAUCUCGGCGCCGCUUCCAUUCGAUGGCUUUUUCGUUUUUACGAGCGAGCCCGCAGUGCUGGCUGGGGAUUGCCUUCACUGGUCGAUUUUUACGGCGGGGUCGCCACCAAGUACCCUUGGGUUUGAUUUGGAUGGGCAGAGCCUAGCCCUGGAAUUGCUGCCAGGGGACAUGUAUACCCCGGGCAGAUUCGCGGUCACGGUCAUCCGAGCAGAGAGUGGUGGGAUGGGUUUCCUUUUAUUGUCAGGCUUCACCGCCCAACUAUGGAGUAUGGAGACCGAUGGCGACGGUGUUGUGAUAUGGGAGCCGAGAAGAAUUAUUGAACUGGACAAGUUACUUGGACUAAAUUCAAAGAAACAGCCCCCGCAAAUGAUAGGGUAUGCGGAGGAAAAUAAUUUGGUGUUCCUCUGGACAGUUGUUGGUGUCUUCAUGGUCCAUCUUCAGUCAUUGCAGUUGAAGAAAAUCUCCAAGGCCACCAUCGGUUCUCACUAUCAUCCAUUCGAAACUGUCUAUACUCCAGGCAUUGGUGGUGGACACGAGGGGGCUGAAGCUGUGAGGCAUCCCUGUACCAUUUCUCAAUUACCAAAUAUUGCCCACCUAGCGACCUCCCAUCAUCCUUUCAUGGAUUGCUGCAUCCUGGAUGAUUUCUCCAGGCCCUGCUUCCUUGCAUUCUUAUAG
rnacentral:rRNA from 1 species